rnacentral:lncRNA from 1 species
AAGAAGAAAGGGUUCAAAAGUUGGGCAACAAGCGGACGGAAGCAUAUGGCAUCGGGUUCCCCGGCUGGCCAAACGGGAACUUCGAUCUCCUUUUCAACGGAAGCUGGGUGAGUGACAGACAGCUUCAAAAGUUCCAAGCUAGCCUCGCAUGGCCUUUGUGUACUUUAUUUGAGGAGAUCAUAAUCUUACUAUUACUAGUAAUGGUUCCUUUUGAAGCCACCAUGUGAUGGCACCUAGGAUCCUAGGUGGCACUCUAGAAAAAGAGAGAAAUCCUAAAAAUUCUCACAAAAAGCAAAACAUAUUGCCAUCAAUUGGUAGGCUCAAAUCAUCCUAGCCCAUUGGAUCUAUUAUAUUUUCUAAAAAAUUAGCCACCUAAGCCAUUAUGAAAAUAGCCUAAAGUAACCCUUAAAUCUAUAUCUAAAUUAACCACCUCUGCCAUUAUAUAAAAUAAACUAAAGUAACCCCCUAAUCUUCAUCAAAAUUACCCAAUUAUGCCAUUAUAAACAAUAUUUCAAAUAACCCCCUAAAUUUGCAACUAAAUUGCCCACCACUAAUACUUUAAAAUAACUUAAAGUAACCCCUCAAAGUUGCAUAAAUAUUAC